rnacentral:rRNA from 1 species
UGCGCCUUGCCAGCCCGCUCAGAAACUUAAAUGAAUUGACGGGGGCCCGCACAAGCGGAGGAGCAUGUGGUUUUAAUUCGAUGAUACGCGAGGAACCUUACCUGGGCUUAAAUGCUUAAUGACGUACUGGGAAACUGGUAUUUCUUCGGACAUUUUGCAAGGUGCUGCAUGGUUGUCGUCAGCUCGUGCCGUGAGGUGUCGGGUUAAGUCCCAUAACGAGCGCAACCCCUAUUGUUAGUUGCCAUCAGGUCAUGCUGGGGACUCUAACAAAACUGCCCGCGUAAGCGUGGAGGAAGGUGGGGAUGACGUCAAAUCAGCACGGCCCUUACGUCCAGGGCUACACACGUGCUACAAUGGCCGGUACAGAGGGCAGCCACUUGGUGACAAGGAGCAAAUCUCAAAAGCCGGUCUCAGUUCGGAUCGGAGUCUGCAACUCGACUCCGUGAAGUUGGAUUCGCUAGUAAUCGUAGAUCAGCAAUGCUACGGUGAAUACGUUCCCGGGCCUU